GCAGCAGCAGCAGCUCCCUAAGUGUAUCUUCAUCCCCUGUUAAGGUACCUGAUCCUUUUAAGGCUUAGAACCAAGUCCUGAAAAGCAAAAUCAUUCCUAGUGUUCAGAGCUUCAAUGGCACAGUGAAAUAGUCAAGGAGACCAUCUUGGCUGUGAGCCCUGGAAGGCCUGCACCCUGCCUUACUGACCCUUUCCCAUCUGGCCUGGGAGAGUGGAGUGCUGACUGACUCCAGCUACAAAAGCUGAAGCUGUUGAACAGAUUCUUGGGCUGGAGUAUUGUUUACGGGGGGUUGAGAGAGCUGUUGCUGUUCUUGAUAUUAUUGUUGUAUCUUUCGUUUUAGAUCUUAUGAUUUACAUGGAAAUUGUUUACAUUUGGUUGUGUACUUUUUGAUGUGUUUUAUUUAUUGUUUAUGACUUCUGUUAUGUUUGUAAUUAUGUAAAUCUCGUCAUGUUGUAAGCUGCCUUGAGCAUAGUUACAACUGUACAAUUGUAAAAUGAUGAUGAUGAUAAU